GUGGGGAAUAUUGGACAAUGGGGGGAACCCUGAUCCAGCCAUGCCGCGUGUGUGAAGAAGGCCUUUUGGUUGUAAAGCACUUUAAGCGAGGAGGAGGCUACCGAGAUUAAUACUCUUGGAUAGUGGACGUUACUCGCAGAAUAAGCACCGGCUAACUCUGUGCCAGCAGCCGCGGUAAUACAGAGGGUGCAAGCGUUAAUCGGAUUUACUGGGCGUAAAGCGCGCGUAGGUGGCCGAGUAAGUCAAAUGUGAAAUCCCCGAGCUUAACUUGGGAAUUGCAUUCGAUACUGGUUUGCUAGAGUAUGGGAGAGGAUGGUAGAAUUCCAGGUGUAGCGGUGAAAUGCGUAGAGAUCUGGAGGAAUACCGAUGGCGAAGGCAGCCAUCUGGCCUAAUACUGACACUGAGGUGCGAAAGCAUGGGGAGCAAACAGGAUUAGAAACCCUGGUAGUCC
rnacentral:rRNA from 1 species